UACGUAGGGGGCAAGCGUUGUCCGGAUUUAUUGGGCGUAAAGAGCGUGUAGGCGGCCAGGUAGGUCUGCUGUGAAAACUCGAGGCUUAACCUCGAGCUGUCGGCGGAAACCAUCUGGCUAGAGUCCGGAAGAGGAGAAUGGAAUUCCCGGUGUAGCGGUGAAAUGCGUAGAUAUCGUAAGGAAGACCAGUGGCGAAGGCGGGUCUCUGGACAGUUCCUGACGCUGAGGCACGAAGGCCAGGGGAGCAAACGGG
rnacentral:rRNA from 1 species